rfam:Triticum aestivum genome assembly, contig: Triticum_aestivum_CS42_TGACv1_scaffold_581418_7BL
CAACUACUCCCUCUGUCCCAAAUUUCUUGUUUGAGAUUUGUCUAGAUAUGGAUGUAUCUAAUACUAAAAUGUGACUUGAUACAUCUGUAUCUAGACAAAUCUAAGACAAGAAUUUUGGGACGGAGGGAGUACUUU